UAUCAUCCUGGCACCAAAGCCCAAUUAUCAUCCUGGCACAAAAGCCCAGUUAUCAUCCUGGCACCAAAGCCCAGUUAUCAUCCUGGCACCAAAGCCCAGUUAUCAUCCUGGCACAAAAGCCCAGUUAUCAUCCUGGCACCAAAGCCCAGUUAUCAUCCUAGCACAAAAGCCCAAUUAUCCUCCUGGCACCAAAGCCCAGUUAUCAUCCUGGCACCAAAAGCC
rnacentral:lncRNA from 1 species